CGGGGAGCAAAAGGGGAGGUGGCGCCGCGCGGCCCCGUUGCCCCGCGCCGCUUCAGUGGGGCAUCCCCGGGCGCAGCCGCUCCUGGUCCAUCGCUCGCUUCGCAGCGCGGAGGGUCUGGAGUCCGGCGAGGAUGCUGCGGCGGCGCCCGGCGCCGGCCCCCCCGCGGGCAACGGCACUGCACGCUGCGCGGCCGCGGAGCGGGGAAUCGUCGCGAUCCCGGCGAUCCCAGGAGAAGCUGCACGGAUCCACUCGGUCAGACCAGCUCUUCGGCUUACUCCCUCGCUCGCUCUUUUUAAACAAAAUCUCCCUUGUUGGUGGUUUGGGGUUUAUUAUUAUUAUUGUUAAUAUUAUUUUAAGUGUGA